rnacentral:tmRNA from 1 species
CCCCUUCCAUUAGGCAAGCCGCGCAAUUAUAUAGGUAUUGUCCUUUCGAGGACUAUGGACAUAAACGCGCUCGUAAUAAGCGGAUCGGACCCGGGGGCGGUACCCGGCGGCUCCACCAAACAUCCUUCAUUUGGGGAUCAUGGGGCCGAAAUAGGAUCGACGAACGUCUAAAGGGGUUAGCUUUGUCUCGGCGGGGUGCCACCGUACCGGCCCGACAAGUACAAUUGCAAAUGACAAUCGUGCUCCGGUUGCUCUGGCUGCGUAAGCAGUUCGAGGAAUCGAAACUUUAAGCCCUAGAGCCUAGCCGCUCUAGGCGGGGUUCGCAGGCACCUGGCAACAGAAGCCUGCACU